rnacentral:lncRNA from 10 species
AAACAAGGAGCUAGUGAAGAUCAACAAGGACAUACUCACGUGAAGGAACACUGUAGAAAGGAGAGAACUGUCUGGAUGGCCUGAGUGAGAUGCACACAGUCUUGGCAUUCACUGCUAGUCCCCUCCAUGUUCCCCUUUAUCCUUCACUGACAGACGCCAAUUUUGUUCUGGUGGUAAAGCACCUGCCUCCAAACCACUACAUUUCCCAGCCUGCCUUGCAACAGUGGAUGCACAUGUGAUAUCUCUCUGGCCAGUGAAAAUCUUAGGGCGGAAAUUCUCGGAAGACCUUUAUUUAAAAAAAAAAAAAAAGCCAACUCAGCUAGAAGUGCUUUUGGCCUUUGUCUUUAUUCCUGCCUGAAAACAAAUGUGAGGCUGAGGAUAAGACAGCCCUCGUAUACCAAGAGGACGCAACCAUCACACUCUGAGAAUGUUGGUGCAGAAAGCUAGGAAGAAUUUGAGAUCCCGAAGUCAUCACGGAGCCCCCAUACCUGCCUAUCUGCAGGCUGUAUGCAAAGAUUAAAACACAUAUCAGCCCGGGCGCAGCGGCUCACGCCUGUAAUCCCAGAACUUUGGGAGGCCGAGGCGGGUGGAUCACCUGAGGUCAGGAGUUCAAGACCAGCUUAGCCAACAUGAUGAAACUCCAUCUCUACAAAAAUACAAAAAUUAGCCAGGUGCGGUGGCAGAUGCCUGUAAUCCCAGCUACUCGGGAGGCUGAGGCAGGAGAAUCGCUUGAACCUGGGAGGCAGAUGGUGCAGUGAGCUGAGAUCACGCCAUUGCACUCCAGCCUGGGCGACAAGAAUGAGACUCCGUCUCAAAAAAAAAAACAAAAAAAACCCCACACAUAUCAAAAGUUCCUGUAAUCAUUUACAUCAUGGUUCUAAUAAACUUGAAUUUUAUCUGUGCUUAUCCUACAGAAUAUUCUGACAUGCUAUUUCUGCAGCUAAGUUUUGCCUUUUAUUGUAGAAAAUAAAAUACAAUUUUUCGACCUGACUGGUUUCUGAAUGUAUGACUCUGGGAAAUGUCAAAUGUCUUUCUUUAGCUCCAGUCAAAUUAGUUUUUUUUUUUCCCCCCUAAGCUGCCUGGAACAUGUUAAAUACAAGGCUGUGACCUUCAACUCUGAAAUAAUAUUUCUAGUGUCUGUGCAAAAGCCUGCCCUCACAUACACCUUUAGACUAAUUACUGCAGUGUAAUG